GUGGGGAAUCUUGCGCAAUGGGCGAAAGCCUGACGCAGCCAUGCCGCGUGAAUGAUGAAGGUCUUAGGAUUGUAAAAUUCUUUCACCGGGGACGAUAAUGACGGUACCCGGAGAAGAAGCCCCGGCUAACUUCGUGCCAGCAGCCGCGGUAAUACGAAGGGGGCUAGCGUUGCUCGGAAUUACUGGGCGUAAAGGGCGCGUAGGCGGAUCGUUAAGUCAGGGGUGAAAUCCCAGAGCUCAACUCUGGAACUGCCCUUGAUACUGGCGAUCUGGAGUGUGAGAGAGGUAUGUGGAACUCCGAGUGUAGAGGUGAAAGUCGUAGAUAUUCGGAAGAACACCAGUGGCGAAGGCGACAUACUGGCUCAUUACUGACGCUGAGGCGCGAAAGCGUGGGGAGCAAACAGGAUUAGAAACCCUAGUAGUCC
rnacentral:rRNA from 1 species